rnacentral:siRNA from 1 species
AAGAUGACGUGGCGUGCCAGCUA